rnacentral:rRNA from 1 species
UGAGCUCAGGCAAGAUUACCCGCUGAACUUAA